GAUGAACGCUGGCGGCGUGCCUAAUACAUGCAAGUCGAGCGAACAGACGAGGAGCUUGCUCCUCUGACGUUAGCGGCGGACGGGUGAGUAACACGUGGAUAACCUACCUAUAAGACUGGGAUAACUUCGGGAAACCGGAGCUAAUACCGGAUAAUAUAUUGAACCGCAUGGUUCAAUAGUGAAAGACGGUUUUGCUGUCACUUAUAGAUGGAUCCGCGCCGCAUUAGCUAGUUGGUAAGGUAACGGCUUACCAAGGCAACGAUGCGUAGCCGACCUGAGAGGUGGAUCGGCCACACUGGAACUGAGACACGGUCCAGACUCCUACGGGAGGCAGCAGUAGGGAAUCUUCCGCAAUGGGCGAAAGCUUGACGGAGCAACGCCGCGUGAGUGAUGAAGGUCUUCGGAUCGUAAAACUCUGUUAUUAGGGAAGAACAAAUGUGUAAGUAACUAUGCACGUCUUGACGGUACCUAAUCAGAAAGCCACGGCUAACUACGU
rnacentral:rRNA from 1 species